CCAAUAGCGUAUAUUAAAGUUGUUGCAGUUAAAAAGCUCGUAGUUGAAUUUCGGGGUUAGUAGGUUGGUCGUGCCACUGGUACGUACUGGUCUCACUGAUUCCUCCUUCCUGAUGAACUGUAAUGCCAUUAAUUUGGUGUUGCAGGGAAACUGGACUGUUACUUUGAAAAAAUUAGAGUGUUUAAAGCAAGCUAACGCUUGAAUACAUUAGCAUGGAAUAAUGAAAUAGGACGUUCGAUCCUAUUUUGUUGGUUUCUAGGAUUGACGUAAUGAUUAAUAGGGAUAGUUGGGGGCAUUAGUAUUCAAUUGUCAGAGGUGAAAUUCUUGGAUUUAUUGAAGACUAACUACUGCGAAAGCAUUUGCCAAGGAUGUUUUCAUUAAUCAAGAACGAAAGUUAGGGGAUCGAAGACGAUCAGAUACCGUCGUAGUCUUAACCGUAAACUAUGCCGACUAGGGAUCGGAUGAUGUUAAUUUUUUAAUGACUCAUUCGGCGCCUUACG
rnacentral:rRNA from 1 species